GGCGCGCAAAUUACCCAAUCCCGACACGGGGAGGUAGUGACAAUAAAUACUGAUACAGGGCUCUUUUGGGUCUUGUAAUUGGAAUGAGUACAAUUUAAAUCCCUUAACGAGGAACAAUUGGAGGGCAAGUCUGGUGCCAGCAGCCGCGGUAAUUCCAGCUCCAAUAGCGUAUAUUAAAGUUGUUGUGGUUAAAAAGCUCGUAGUUGAACCUUGGGCCUGGCUGGCCGGUCCGCCUCACCGCGUGUACUGGUCCGGCCGGGCCUUUCCCUCUGUGGAACCCCAUGCCCUUCACUGGGUGUGGCGGGGAAACAGGACUUUUACUUUGAAAAAAUUAGAGUGCUCCAGGCAGGCCUAUGCUCGAAUACAUUAGCAUGGAAUAAUAGAAUAGGACGUGUGGUUCUAUUUUGUUGGUUUCUAGGACCGCCGUAAUGAUUAAUAGGGACAGUCGGGGGCAUCAAUAUUCAAUUGUCAGAGGCGAAAUUCUUGGAUUUAUUGAAGACUAACUACUGCGAAAGCAUUUGCCAAGGAUGUUUUCAUUAAUCAGGAACGAAAGUUAGGGGAUCGAAGACGAUCAGAUACCGUCGUAGUCUUAACCAUAAACUAUGCCGACUAGGGAUCGGACGAUGUUAUUUUUUGACUCGUUCGGCACCUUACGAGAAAUCAAAGUGCUUGGGCUCCAGGGGG
rnacentral:rRNA from 1 species